rnacentral:rRNA from 1 species
UACGUAGGGGGCAAGCGUUGUCCGGAAUUAUUGGGCGUAAAGAGCUCGUAGGCGGUUUGUCGCGUCUGCUGUGAAAACUCGGGGCUUAACUCCGGGCCUGCAGUGGGUACGGGCAGACUAGAGUGCGGUAGGGGAGACUGGAAUUCCUGGUGUAGCGGUGAGAUGCGUAGAUAUCAGGAGGAAUACCGGUGGCGAAAGCGACUCUCUGGACGGCAACUGACGCUGAGGCACGAAAGCGUGGGGAGCAAACAGG